rnacentral:rRNA from 1 species
GACGAACGCUGGCGGCGUGCUUAACACAUGCAAGUCGAACGGAAAGGCCCAGCUUGCUGGGUGCUCGAGUGGCGAACGGGUGAGUAACACGUGGGUGAUCUGCCCCUAACUUCGGGAUAAGCUUGGGAAACUGGGUCUAAUACCGGAUAGGACAAUCGUUUAGUGUCGGUUGUGGAAAGUUUUUUCGGUUAGGGAUGAGCCCGCGGCCUAUCAGCUUGUUGGUGGGGUAAUGGCCUACCAAGGCGUCGACGGGUAGCCGGCCUGAGAGGGUGGACGGCCACAUUGGGACUGAGAUACGGCCAAGACUCCUACGGGAGGCAGCAGGGGGGAAUAUUGCACAAUGGGCGCAAGCCUGAUGCAGCGACGCCGCGUGGGGGAUGACGGCCUUCGGGUUGUAAACCUCUUUCGACAGGGACGAAGCUUUGGUGACGGUACCUGUAUAAGAAGCACCGGCUAACUACG